CGGGGGGAGGUCGGGGUCUCGCGCUCAGUGUGUUUCCGGAGCGGGAACGGGAGCGGGCGGCGGAGAGUGAGAGAGAGAUGUAGACCAGAAACUCCUUUGCUGCAAAGUCAACUCUCUCUCUCAGUUUGAACAGUGCCUCCCUACCAAUAAUGCUUUGGUGCUUCCUGCUAAUGCUUCAAUAUCCCGGGAAUUCUAAAGCUCAAGUCAAUCCUGGCCUGUGUCGUUACGCAUUGGGAAUGCAGGAUGGUACAAUUGCCGAUGAAGACAUCACUGCCUCCAGUGAGUGGUAUGGAUCAACAGCAGCCCGAUUUGGCAG